AAAUUAGUCUUCCUCAGACUUCGAACUUUGAAUCUUUCUUAUAUCUCCCAGCUCUUACAACUUAAGCUAGCUAAUCUUCGGGAACGAAAAUAGUUGUUAAUUGAAACUAUGUAUAAUCAAAUGCUAGGAGAUGGACAUUGCGCAUGCAUCAUUUUGUGGCAUUAACCCAAGCACGCUUUUGAUAAGUUAAAGAAAGAUAACUUAUUCUUCGCUAUAAAACCGCCAAUCACAGCGCGACACGUAUCUUUCUUUAGCUUAUCUUUAUUUUUUUUAAUUUUUAUUUACUCUGAACGUUCGUUUUCAACGUAGCACUGUUUCUCCCCAAUCUCUCAUCAACCCUCGCGUGUUUCUUUCCCUUUCUACCUGCUCCACCGUACCAUUCAUCUCCUUCUUAUUUCGAGUUUUGUCUCUCACAGCCAUACUAUACUUUCCUCCACAUCAAUCUCAAACCCUAGUUGUCCUUCCGUGUUACCCUUCCUCUUUCAACCUACUUCUCACCAAUCCAUCAAUAUAGUCUCUUCGGAUUGAUCUGAUGCGGAAUUCAUGGUUUAAAUUUCUUGUGAUUUUGUGAAAUACUAAUUGCUGUGAGCAUUGGCAUAUGUGGUGUAGAUUGAUCUAACUGAUUUCAGUACUUCUAUUCCCUAUGAUUGUUCUCAUAUAGUCAUAUUAUAUCCUUAUAAUUCCUACGGCGCUUAUGUGGUUUUGAUCUAUUUAUCUUCAUUUCUUACUUUCUUAAUUUUUUUUGGUAGCAGAGUUUUUCUCUUAAUUUCUACUGAUUACUAUCUUAUUUUUGUGUUUCCAGACAAUUGUUUCACAGAGUACCCUGUUUGAUCGCUUGAAGGAUGCUUAAGGAUUCUCAGUUCUUUAUAUGGGUUAUAACUCUUUAUCAUUUAUUUUUCUUAACUUCCUUGUCUCUUUUGCUUGUGUUAUGUUAUGUCCCCCUUAAAAGUUGUAAACUGUAUUUGUAAUGGGAAUGUUAAAUUUUUAGGUAUUUCUUGGUUAAAUUUUUUUUAACUUCAAUGCAUGAUUUAUUGAGUCAGUUUUCUGGAAGGACUUUGCAGAACUUUUCAGCCAAAACAAUGUUGAAGGCUAUCAAGAUAGUCUAUCAUGUUUUCAGCUUAUUUAUGUUUUCAUGUUUUUCAAGUUUAAUUCUUUUAAACUUGAUUGGGUAGGACAAGUAUCUCUUAUCAUUUGUGCCCCUCUAAUAUGAAAUGAUUUGAUAUCUCUCUUCAAAUGUCAAACCCAGCCGUGCUAUUUUUUGUCAGGAAAGACAACUUUCAGAAAUAAGAUUUAACAUUUUGUUAUUAUGCUUUAGUGGUUUGAUGUGUAGGAUACUUUAUUUCUGAAUAGAAAGAAAGAAACAAGGAUGUAAAAAUGAGCACAGGUUAAUAUUUAAUAAAGAUAAUUAGAAGGCAAAGUCUAACAUGAUACUAAAGGCUCUAUGAAAACCCACUAAAUAUAGCCUGCAAGGACUUACUAUGUUCUUUACAGAUCCUUUGGUGGAUAUAAAAUGUGUGUCAAUUGUUAUCAUGGUACUAUUUUUAUUAUUAUAUUACUUUAAAAACAAUGUCUUUUUAUUUAAGUUAAUUUUAAAUAAACAAUGUAAUUUAUAAGUAGUUUAGCUAUAUAAGUACUGAUUAGUUUUCUUUAAAGAACUAUAGUUUGUAUUUUAUAUUAGUGUUUAUGAAGGCCUGACCUUCUUGAUGUGUAGUAACACGAGUGAACUGCACUAUUUCUAUUUUUGAGAACCCAAUUCAACAUUAACCAUCUUGCUUGCCAGUUAUGUAAAGUAGAUGAACAAAUUGUAAUAGCAUAGCUAUGCUAUUUAUGCAGAUUAAAGCCAUCAUCUUUCAGUUUGAGCUAAUAUGGUAGCUGCUUCUGGUGCUGGAGCUGCAACUACCAUGUUUACAAAUCCACUUUGGGUUGUCAAUACUAGACUUCAGUCAAUAAAUUGGUCUUUGAUUGAGGAGUUAUGGUCUGGUGCUUGCUCUUGGUUCCUUAGAGAGAGAAAAAAGGGAUGUUUUGUUAAUUUUAUUGUUGAUGCAUAAUUAGUGUGAGUGGUUCUAAGAAGAGCAUUAUGCAGGAAAUGUUUUGAUGCAUUUAGACAAAUAGUUAUAAUCUUUUACGUUUUGGUUUACUCUCUCAAUAGCGUAAGUUUUUUUUUUUUUAUCUUUUUUGCAUGGCUCUGAUUUGCUAUAGCGUUUCUUCUCUAUGUUGGUCUUACAACAAAGGUUGAUAUUAUUGUUCUUUGGACUCACAAUCUAGGUACACUCUUUAAAAAUUGAAUUAAAUCCUAACACCUUUUAAAUUGCAUAAAAAAUUUGCAGCAAUUUAUGCAUUUGUUUCAUUCUGCUCCCCUAUAAGUACUGCUAUGGUGUCCGCACAUGUUAGCAGAGCUGGCCUUUAUCCAUUUUACCCCUUUAAGCUCAGUGCAGUGACCACUCAAUGAGAUCAUUCACAAAUUCCAGCCUCACGGAGCAUAAUACAGCAUAUUGUAUCAUUUUUAUCUGAUUUUGUUUCUUCAUAAGCAGAAUAUUUUUGCAACUCAACUCUCCAGUUUCUAUAUUUUUUCUCUUAUGGGAUGUACAUUGUGGGAAUUUCAAUUUCUAUAGCUCCAGAUGCUUACCUACAGCAUUUGAAAGAGGAACUUAACACAAAGUUGUUUGGUAUAAGUUUAAUAUUGAGUUUUGGGUUUCUGAUACUUCAUUUUCUCUUUUGUCAGGCAAAACACAGUUUAGCUGUAGAUAUGUUGGGGACUGGUGUUCCGACGCAUUUAGGUGGGGCUAUCUACAUCCCUUAGUGUGCUUUCAUUUCAUACAAUCAAAUUGUGCUCCUUUCAUGGAAUGAGAUUUGAGUGCAGAAGAAGUUUUGGGUGGAUGGUAGAUAUGAAUAGUAAGAGUACUUUUGUCCAUCCUACUUUCAAUAAUUUCUUCUCUUAUUCAGUUAUUCUGUUUCACUUCAUGAUUCCUUAGCAUUAUGUAGAUAUUCACACCAUCUCCUUCCAAACUCUGCCUUGGUUAGCUUUACAUCAUUUGACUUAUUUUUUCUCUUAUUCUAUUUCACUUCAUGAUUCCUUAGCAUUAAUAUUCACACCAUUUCCUUCCAAACUCUGCCUUGGUUAGCUUUGCAUCAUUUGACUUAUUUUAUUCUCUUAUUCUAUUUCACUUCAUGAUUCCUUAGCAUUAAUAUUCACACCAUCUCCUUGCAAACUCUGCCUUGGUUAGCUUUGCAUCAUUUGACUUGGGAAUGGGAGUUGGGUUGAUUGUGGUAGUUGAUUUUUUUUCUUGGUUUUUUCACUUUUGUAGCAUCAUCUAUGACCACAUGUAAUAGAUAUCCCACAUAGUAACUUCAAAUUUGAUUUUGGUUGUCUUAAUAUUUUGAUUGAAGCAUAUAAAGAGAACCCAAAUAGAGCAAAUUAGCAUUAGGCAAGCUUCCUUCUGUUAAGAAAAAACUGUCAACUAUUUUAUUGGUUGCAGAAUAAAACCUGCAGUGAAAGUUUUUGCAGCUACCCCAAAUGCAAGGUUAGAAAAUGAUGCUGCUGAUGAUUUUAGCUGCUCUAAGAACAAGUGUGAUUCAUAAUGAUGUUUCAGAUUAUGAGAGAGAAACUAACUUAAAUUCUUUACUUAGUCUUGAACAGGAAAACUCUGAGUGGCUCUUAGAUUCAAAAUCUGACGGAUUUUCAUUUGAGAACCCUUCAACCCCUCUUAGCUAAAAGUUUCUCAGAUGUGAAUCUUUCUCUUAGCCCUUAUUAUGAGGCAAGUUGGGGCAUUGAGAUUCUUCCUUCAGCCUCUACUAUUUGUUCAUUGACUGAAGUGCAUUGUGGCAUGUUAGAAGAUAAUAUGUCAAUGGAGAGUCUAUUAGAAGCUACAAACAUGAAAGAGUUUGGGCCAUUUGAAGGGAAAUUCAAUUGGAAUUCUGAGGAACCAAACGUUCUUUCUUGACGGCUAAAUUUGCUCAAUAUAAUUUGUAGGUGUGUGGUGUUAGCAAAGCUUUGAUGCUGAACAAAUGACUGAAACAGUCAAGUAGAAUGAUUCAAAACUUGGAAAGGCUAUGCCCUGCCAUUGAAAACCAAUUUACUAUGUGGAUAGAAAUUAUUUUAACCAGUGAAAGAGAGCUUUGAGAAAGGCUUGUGGAUUUUAGUUUUUCUGCUUUCCAAAAUAGCAUGUCCUCCCCUGAAGCUACUCCUUCCCAACGUGGUUGUUAUUGGCAUAUCAUGCUGAACUAGCACAGAUGCAACUAUGGAUUGCUUUAGAUCAGGAACAUGCAUAAGAGCGGUUGAAAUUCAUUGUAUAAAAGUACCCAUAAAAAAAGGCAUUGCUUUCAUAUAUAUGUAUAAUUUAUUUAUUGUUCCUUUC